ensembl:lncRNA
UUUUUGUUAAGUUUUGGUUGUUUAGGCUGUUAAAGUUACUUAAACACUCAAUCUGAUACUCAAUUUUAAGCUUAGAUUUGGUAAAUUUUUACGAUUAACCCCCAGAUCUUACAUGAUUAGUUUGAAUACUGUCUGAACAUUAAAAAGUCAAAGAUUUUUCUGUUUUUAUAGUGUCUGGCUCUGAUAAAUGUUGCAAUAUUUGGUUAAUUUUCAUGAUUCAACCAAACAUCCUAUGUAAUUACUUCAAGGACUGUCUAGAAAUGGAAAAAUCAACAUUUUUUCUGUUUUUAUAGUUUCUGGCUCUGAUAAAUGGUGUAAUUUUGGUGAUUUUGUUACCGAUAACAUGCUGCUAAAACCUACUUGAACCUAGUUAAAAAGUUUCAUGUUUUAUUUACAGAAUCUGGUUACAGCAAACAGUUGAGUUUUGGUGAAUUAAAUUGAUUUUGAUAAUAAUAAUGUCACAAUUUUAAGCUUAGAUUUGGUUAAUUUUCCCAAUGGAACCACACGUCUCACAAAAUUAGUUAAAAUACUGUGUAGAAAUGGGAAAACCAACAUUCUUUUCUGUUUUAACAGUUUCUGGCUCUGAUAAAUGGGAUCAUUUUUUUGUUUGUUUUUUGCAUCCUCCUGGUGGAUUUUCGGGCUCAGACAGUUAAAAAUUUUCAUUUUAUAUUAACAGAAUCUGGUUGAAGCAAACUGUUGAGUUUUAGCAAAUUAAAUAGAUUUUCACAUGAAAAUGUCAUGAUUUUAGGCUUAGAUUUUGUUAAUAUUCCCAGUGGAACCACACGGACAGACUGAACAUUAAAAAUCAGACCAUUUUUUUCUGUUUUUAUAGUUUCUAACUCUGGUAAAUGGGGUCAUUUUUGUGAUUGUUUAAAUUAUUUUUUAACAAUAUCUCGCUUCUCAAAGCUGCUGCUGGGGUUCAGAGGGUUAAAAUGAUUCAUGUUACAUUUCUGUGACUCCUGACUCAACAAAAACAUCAAUAAGAACGUUCAGAUAAACCAGACUUGGCCUUUACCUGCUCCAGAACCUCAUGGUUUUGAUUCUGUGACUCUUCAGGUCAGCGUCGACUCGUAUUGACUUUUCAUUGAGGACAGACUGGAGUCCAAUCAGGCGUCUCUUCCUGUCCGACCCGCUCACUGUUUAUCUUUAUAAAUAAACCGUCACCGAGUUUAACGGGGUUUUUUUUUCUUGCCUUCAUACAUGUCUGCUUGCAUGUUCAUGUGGGAUUUCCCAUCCGCGAGUCUAUUUGUGUCUUUUCUCACCUGCUGAGUAAAGCUGCGUCGCCGGGGGUUACCAGGGCAGGAUGUCCGAGUGGAAACGGACUAUUUUCACAUCCCAUCACGGCUCCUCUGAGUUUAUCCCACCACCGGCACGUAUCUCUGGAUGAGGAGGUUUUACUGGAUGUCGAGGUGAGAAUCGGAAGAAACUUCUAGAAGCUUCGGACGGGUUUUAUUUGGUUCUUUCUGUUGCACAUUUCUCCAAUCCAUGACUUGUGACUCGGUGGAGCUUCGUGUUUCUCUGGUUCAACCCUGGUCUCCUCAGCUGUACGUGAUUCUGGUGUUGCGCUGUCGUGUUCUUCUUUGAUUCAGGGUGGGGGGGGACCCAGAGAUGCUACUGUACGUGGACGACGGGUUCUUAUUCGUUGCUGUUGGGUGGGUUUUCGGGGAGGGUUGCCGCGGCUACGGCGCCGGGCCCCGUGGGAAGUGAAGUUCUCAGUAUAUUUACACGUCUCUUUAAGCCUCUGCUAAAGACUGAUGACUGUUCAUUUAGAGCUCAAUGAAUUUCUAUAAAUAUUUUAGAUUGCUCAAACUGAUUGUGUGCAAUUGUAAUGACGGAAAUUCAAUAAAAAAAAGAGGUAUUUUUACACAAUACGCUCCAUGUGUCGUCUGUUGGGUCUGAGUAUCUCGUGGGAUGAU